UUACUUACCUGACAGGAAUACAUCAUGAUCUUGAAGGUGGUUUUCCCAGGGCUAAGCAUAUUCAUUGAGGUCUGGAUGUGCUGACCCCUGCAGUUUCCCCAAAUAAGGGACACUUGACUGCAUAAUUUAUGGCAACGGAGAACUCUGUUCAAGUUCUCCC